rnacentral:rRNA from 1 species
GACGAACGCUGGCGGCGUGCUUAACACAUGCAAGUCGAACGAAGUGGCGAACGGGUGAGUAACGCGUAAUCAACCUGCCCUUCAGAGGGGGACAACACUUGGAAACGACUGCUAAUACCGCAUACUGAAGGAGGGGAUUGCGUCGGAUUAGCUGAUUGGCGGGGCAAAGGCCCACCCAGGCGGUGGUCAGUAGGCGGGCUGAGAGGAUGAACCGCCCCAUUGGGAAUGGGAAACCGCCCAGGCUCCUUAGGGGAGCAGGAGUGGGGGAUCUUCCGCAAUGGACGAAAGGCUGACGGAGCAACUCCGCGGGGGUGAUGACGGCCUUCGGGUUGUAAAGCUCUUUUAAUCGGGACGCGGUACCGGAAUAGAAAGCCACGGCUAACUACGUGCCAGCCGCCGCGGUAAUUC